GGCCUAUUGGCAGAUUAUUGCGCUAAGUUUAAGCCUUAGAUACGAUUAUUUU
rnacentral:tRNA from 1 species